rnacentral:tmRNA from 1 species
GGGGUAGCCUAUGGUUUCGACAUGUAUUACUAAAUAUGACUGCAAGUGGAAGUGACGCCUUAAGUCUAAACUUAAAAUUAAAUGACAAGAAUGAAAAUUCUUUUGCUUGGAAUGCCAAUUUGGCAUUCGCUGCUUAAUCUUAAGUAGUAUGGCAAGCUUCUAUUAAUUUUGCUUAUAGGACUAAUAGAGGUUCAUAAAUAUAAGAUAUAUUCUUUUAUUUGUUUAGGAUAAAAGAAUGAAAUUUUACUAAACUUAGAUUUUUUAUAGGUUGGUCUUGAGCCAUUAAAAAAUUGAAAUCCAAAUCAAGCUAAACUUGUAGAUGUUAUAUGAUAGGAUAUAUUGGACAGGAGUUCGAUUCUCCUCAGCUCCACCA